UACAGAGGCCUCAAGCGUUACCCGGAAUUACUGGGCGUAAAGGGUGUGUAGGCGGUAGUGUUAGUCGGCUGUUAAAUAUCCAGGGCUUAACCUUGGAAACCCGGUCGAAACGGCACUACUAGAGGAUGCGAGAGGUGAAUGGAACUCAUGGUGUAGGGGUGAAAUCCGUUGAUAUCAUGGGGAACACCAAAAGCGAAGGCAAUUCACUGGCGCACUCCUGACGCUCAAACACGAAAGCGUGGGUAGCGAACGGG
rnacentral:rRNA from 1 species